CAGCAUCCCUCUGCAUUUGAGCGACUCAAAACGAAUUUCGAAGUCGACGUCGACGGUUGUGUUUUGUCGCUUUUUUCUUGCUUCCAAAGAAUACUAAUCUAAACAAAAUAAAGCUUUUAACUAGAACCACAAACAAAUAGCAAAUAACUAAGCACUAAAGCUAGAGGAAACCCCUAACUACAAAAGAUAAAACCAACUAAAAUAUGCAAAAGUUAAUCAUACGCACCGUUAAUAAGCACCAAGUGAAAAACUGACUAAAGGAAAACGCAGAGCAAAAAUAAAGGACAAACAAAGGAGUAAAACUCUCCAGAGAAGGAGCCAAAAGCAGCAGCAUCAGCAUCAGCAAAGAACAUUCUGCUGCAUAAAUAAUACACUCGACAUACGUAUACGCCAUAUAGGCCAGGACAUACCAGCAGGAUAUACCACACACACACAAGGCGGACA